GGGUUGCAGCAGUGGGAUGCUCAGGAGUUGUUCGACGCCAUCCGAGAGAUCGACCCCGACCUGCCUUACACGCAGGAGGUCGGCGGUUCGAAUCCGUCAGCGCCCA
rnacentral:tRNA from 1 species